UUUACAUAUUACUUGGAUACAUUAUAAAAACAGGUACUGUAUAACGAAUAUUUUAUUAUUAUAUAUUGAUUCCCAUUAAAGAACACACUUCAUUUUACAGUCAAAAAUGUUCUUAUAACAUGAAGUAAUAUCUGAAAAUAUAAGAACGAAUUCAGAAAGCACCACAAAAAUUAAUAGAAGAUUGAACUGCCUACCAUAAAAGUUAACCACAUGUUUGUCUGUCGUUUUGAACUUUUAACAAAAUACUAAUAGAAAUUGCAUUAUAUUCAGGGUACGUUAAUAUUUAUUACGAUAAAACAAAUACAAUAUUGUUUAAAUAGUAUAUACCAAUACUAUAGAUUUUUUAAAUGAAAGUAAAAUAAUCGACGAGAGAAAUGAUUCUAGCGAACGAGUAUAUAAGGAGAAAGGUGCGACGUUCACUUACCGAAAUACAACAAAAGACUGAUUACAAGGCCACUCAAAGUUAUUUACGGAUUGCGCAUUUGUUUUUGCUUUUUUCAGUGUCCUUCGACCGCGAGUUUAAAGUUUCCUUCUAAUGAAAUUUUCUAUUAAUAUUACUUUACAUUCAAGAUCGUCAAAAAGCAUCCAUAAAAAGGCAAUCUUCAAAUUUUAAAAAUUGAAAUGCCUACGAAAUGGUAUUACACUUUACUAUCAAUACUUCAAAUUGUUAUGAAUUAUAGAUCUUGUUCUUGUGUAUAAUAUUUUUAUAUUGUAGAUCUCCUGUGUGACUUUAUAGACGAGACAAUUCAAAUAUAGUGUUACUACUAAGUGCAAAUCGUUGACCAGUUCUUAUAAUUUAUUAUAUCUGAAGAAAAUCAGUAUUAUGCAAAAUUAAAGUUGUAUCUGUUGUAAUGGAGAUGGUACUUACGCUAUGUUCAUUGCAGUUUCUUUUUUAAAUGUUAUGUAAAUAUUCUAUCGCAAAAUUAAAACAGUUAUUUGACAUAGAAGAGAUUUGACAUCUCAUCUUUAGUAAUUUUCUCAUCAUCGCAUCAAGUAUAAGGAG